UGCCCAAAUCCUUGAUUUUAAAUUCAGCAUGAAGAAAUUCCUUUAGCUGAACUUGUUCAAUUGGAUCAUCCCCUAUAAUUAGAAUGUCAUCCACAUAUACUGUGAUGAGAAUAAUCUUCCCAUCUGAUUUAAAGUUCAAAGCUGCAGUUAGCCUGACAUACCACUGUUUUGAGGCUUGCCGCAGUUCAUAAAGUGACUUCCUUAAAAGACAGACAUGAUUAGGGGAAGGUGGUGAUAUUCCUGGUGGAAACUUCAUAAACACUUCUUCCUGCAAAUCACCAUGCAGGAAGGCAUUAUUGACGUCUAGUUGAAAUAAAUCCCAUCCUUUCUUGACUGCUAUUGCAAGAUUACACCUAAUAAUUGUCAUCUUAACCACCGGUGAAAAAGUCUCCAUGAAAUAAAUUUCUUCUCUUUGUGUGUCUCCUCUAAUGACCAAACGAGCUUUGAACCUUUCUAAAGAACCAUCAGAUUUAUAUUUUACCUUGUAAAUUCAUUUACAAGGUAGAGCCCCUUCCCUGUAGGCAAAGGAAUAAAAUCGCAACUCUUAUUUGCCUCAAAUUCUUUAGCCAUAGCCUCCUACCAACCUGGGUGAAGUGAUACUUAAGAGUAGAAUAUUGGCUCAGAUAUAUAUGAAAUAGAUUUGAGCAUGAUUUGAUUUGUGGGAGAAAGAGCACAAAAAGGCAAUACAAUUGAUUUAAUAGGUGCAAAGAAACAAGAAUCAGUAAGGUAACAGAAGACAAACAAUAUUCAGAAGAGGUGAAUGAGAAUGAGUAAUUGAGAUAUGUGACGUAGGAUAGAUAAGAGAACUUCUAGCAAAUGGUAUUGGUGACUGGGAGUAGAUAGUUGAAAGUGGUGAAUAAGAACCAUGCAUGGUGAACCCCUAGCAAUAGAGUCAUGGUUGGAAAAAGUGGUAGUAGGUGAAGAAGGAAACUCAGAAAUAGGAACUCCAUGCUGAGAAGGCAAUGUAGGAAAAAGAGGUUGAUUUCUCACUUUAGAAAAAAAAGGAAAAAUGAAUUCAUGAAAUUUAACAUCACUAGAAACAAAAAGUUUCAUGUUUUGUAAAUUUAAAAACUUGUAACCCUUCUUCCCAAAAGAAUAUAAAGACACAAGGGACUGACCUUGGGUCAAGUUUACUUA